rnacentral:misc_RNA from 1 species
UACGUAGGGCGCGAGCGUUAUCCGGAAUUAUUGAGCGUAAAGGGCUCGUAGGCGGUUUGUCGCGUCGGGAGUGAAAACUCAGGGCUCAACCCUGAGCGUGCUUCCGAUACGGGCAGACUAGAGGUAUGCAGGGGAGAACGGAAUUCCUGGUGUAGCGGUGGAAUGCGCAGAUAUCAGGAGGAACACCGGUGGCGAAGGCGGUUCUCUGGGCAUUACCUGACGCUGAGGAGCGAAAGCAUGGGUAGCAAACAGG